UGUCCAUGGAUGGGAAUCGAACCCACAGUGUUCCGCUUACCGGGCAGAUGCCAUGUCUACCUUUAAGCCGC